UGCGUAGGCGGUUUUUUUAAGUCAGAUGUGAAAUACCCGGGCUUAACCUGGGGGGUGCAUUUGAAACUGGGGAACUUGAGUGCAGGAGAGGAAAGUGGAAUUCCUAGUGUAGCGGUGAAAUGCGUAGAUAUUAGGAGGAACACCAGUGGCGAAGGCGACUUUCUGGACUGUAACUGACGCUGAGGCACGAAAGCGUGGGGAGCAAACAGGAUUAGAUACCCUGGUAGUCCACGCUGUAAACGAUGGAUACUAGGUGUAGGGGGCGAUAGGCUCUCUGUGCCGCAGCUAACGCAAUAAGUAUCCCGCCUGGGGAGUACGAUCGCAAGGUUGAA
rnacentral:rRNA from 1 species